CGCCGCUGUGGCUGGACUCAUUCUCGCUGUCUUCUCCACACCUCGACUGCGUCUCCUCCUUGUCACUCUCCUUCCCAUGGUUUCGGGCGUUUUUGACUUUCUGGUGGAUGCGCUGGUGACGGACCAGGCUGUGCUUCAGAGUGAAGGUCCGUUCACAGGUUUGACACUUGUAAGGUCUCUCACCUGGAAGAGAAUGACAACACAAAGUCAGCUGUGAGGUCACACACGUGCCUUCCUCUUGUUUCAAGCAGCAUGAAACACUUUGCAUUUGCAAAUUCAGUACCUACAUCAAACGUCACAUUUAUGCAGAUUUUUUGCUUCUGUGCUAGCAAACUGGCUGAAUACAAUACUUGCAAACUGGAAUGCAAGCCUGAAUACAGUUACCUCACAAGAAGACAAAAAUUACCUAAGAUGUGGUCCUUAAUGGUGUCCUCCGGUUACUUACCUCCCUGCAGUAUUAAUGUUGCUGAAGAUGUAACAUAUGCCCAAAAAACUGAAACAGGAAUUGUUCCAGGACACGAAGUUCGCAAGUGGCACUUUCUGAAAGCUGAAACUUCAAGUCCUCCACCCCGCCUCCUGCUUAUUGACAGCAAGCAGCAAAGGGAGCCCACAACCCACCCGGCAUUUCAACAUUCAUCUGCAAGAGCGAUAGGUGCUGAGUAACUACAGGGAUUUAGAAACUCCAGGAGAGCAGUGCAAGCUCUCUGUUUGACACAGUAAAACAUGUGCUUGUCUGCAAACUGCCCAGAUUUCCUAUUACAGGCUUUUUCCCUAAGCAAGGAGUAAAAACAGAAGAUAAGAAGAUGGUUCUCAGGCACUUAUUAGUUUGAAUGUAGUCUUGCAACACAAUUUACACUGGUCCCAUCUCCCCUCACUAGUGAUAAUA